rnacentral:rRNA from 1 species
GUUUGGUCAAGCUACUAAGAGUAUAUGGUGGAUGCCUUGGCGGAGGACGGCGAAGAAGGACGUGAUUAGCUGCGAUAAGCUUCGGGGAGUUGCUAAAUAAACUUUGAUCCGGAGAUUUCCGAAUGGGAAAACCCAGCCGCGCGAAAGCACGGUUAUCCCAGGCUGAAUACAUAGGCCUGGCGAGGCGAACGGGGGGAACUGAAACAUCUAAGUACCCCUAGGAAAAGAAAACAAGUCAGUGAUUCCCCUAGUAGUGGCGAGCGAACGGGGAACAGCCUAAACCCGGUUGUUUACAACCGGGGGUUGCGGGGCCUUAACAUGGGAUUUGUGGAGGAUAGUCGAACUGUCUGGAAAGUCAGGCCAUAGCGGGUGAUAGCCCCGUAGACGAAAUCCGAAGCAACCCUAGAGGAACCCCAAGUACAACGGGACACGAGAAACCCUGUUGGAAUCCGGGAGGACCAUCUCCCAAGGCUAAAUACGUGCCUCCGACCGAUAGUGAACUAGUACCGUGAGGGAAAGGCGAAAAGAACCCGGGAACGGGAGUGAAAUAGAACCUGAAACCGUAUACUUACAAGCAGUGGGAGGGCUAUGGCUCUUACGAGCAAUGCCUGACCGCGUGCCUUUUGCAUAAUGAGCCGGCGAGUUAUUGUAUGUAGCAAGGUUAAGCCGUUGAGGUGUAGCCGCAGCGAAAGCGAGUCUGAAUAGGGCGAUUCAGUUGCAUGCAAUAGACCCGAAACCUAGUGAUCUACCCUUGGCCAGGAUGAAGGGCGGGUAACACCGCCUGGAGGUCCGAACUGGUGAACGUUGAAAAGUUCUCGGAUGAGCUGAGGGUAGGGGUGAAAGGCUAAUCAAACUGGGAGAUAGCUGGUUUUCCUCGAAAUAUAUUGAGGUAUAGCCUCGUAUGGAUAGUAGCGGAGGUAGAGCACUGGAUGGACUAGGGGUCGGAAAACGAUUACCAAAUCUAACCAAACUCCGAAUUCCGCUAACUUAUAUACGGGAGUCAGACUGUGGGGGAUAAACUUCAUAGUCGAAAGGGGAAGAGCCCAGACCGCCGAUUAAGGCCCCCAAAUCUACACUAAGUGUGAAAGGAUGUGGAAACGCUCCGACAACUAGGAGGUUGGCUUAGAAGCAGCCAUCCUUUAAAGAAAGCGUAACAGCUCACUAGUCAAGCGAGUCCGCGCCGAAAAUGUAACGGGGCUUAAGUGUAGUGCCGAAAUCGCGGGUUCGAUUUGUUUUGCGAAACAAGUCGAGCGGUAGAGGAAUAUUCCAGUAGCCGUCGAAGGUCCACCGAGAGGAGGGCUGGAGGUUCUGGAAGAGCUUAUGCUGGCAUGAGUAGCGACAAAAUGUGAGAGUAACACAUUCGCCGUAAGCCUAAGGUUUCCUGGGGAAGGUUAAUCCGCCCAGGGUUAGUCGGUACCUAAGUCGAGGCUCAAGAGCGUAGACGAUGGACAUCGGGUUAAUAUUCCCGAACCGACUUGGCAGCGUUUGAUGCUAAGGGAUGACGGAGAAGGGUAGAUCAGCCACCGAUCGGUUGUGGUGGUUCAAGCCUGUAGGAUGACCGGAUAGGCAAAUCCGUUCGGUUAUAUCCGAGAGGUGAGUACGAUGGGUCCUAGACCCUGCAAAGUGAUUGAUCCCAUGCUUCCAAGAAAAAUCUCGUAGCUAGUUGUCAGGUCGACCGUACCGCAAAUGGACACACAUAGGCGGGGUGAGUAUCCCAAGGCGCUUGAGAGAACUCUGGUGAAGGAACUCUGCAAAUUAACACCGUAACUUCGGGAGAAGGUGUGCCUACAUUAGGUGAAGCCCCUCGCGGGUGGAGCCGAAGUAGGUCGCAGGGAAAUGGGGGUCACGACUGUUUAACAAAAACACAGGACUCUGCAAAGUGUACCAACACGAUGUAUAGGGUCUGACGCCUGCCCGGUGCUGGAAGGUUAAGGGGAGGGGUUAGCCGCAAGGCGAAGCUCCGAACCGAAGCCCCAGUAAACGGCGGCCGUAACUAUAACGGUCCUAAGGUAGCGAAAUUCCUUGUCGGGUAAGUUCCGACCUGCACGAAUGGCGUAACGAUGGC